rnacentral:rRNA from 1 species
UACGGGGGGGGCAAGCGUUGUUCGGAAUUACUGGGCGUAAAGGGCUCGUAGGUGGCCAACUAAGUCAGACGUGAAAUCCCUCGGCUUAACCGGGGAACUGCGUCUGAUACUGGAUGGCUUGAGUUUGGGAGAGGGAUGCGGAAUUCCAGGUGUAGCGGUGAAAUGCGUAGAUAUCUGGAGGAACACCGGUGGCGAAGGCGGCGUUCUGGACUGCUACUGACACUGAGGAACGAAAGCCAGGGGAGCAAACGGG